GAUGAACGCUGGCGGCGUGCCUAAUACAUGCAAGUCGAGCGAACGGACGAGAAGCUUGCUUUUCUGAUGUUAGCGGCGGACGGGUGAGUAACACGUGGAUAACCUACCUCUAAGACUGGGAUAACUUCGUGAAACCGGAGCUAAUACCGGCUAAUAUUUUCAACGGCAUGGUUCAAAAGUUAAAGACAGUCUUGCUGUCUCUUAUAGAUGGAUCCGCGCUGCAUUAGCUAGUUGGUAAGGUAACGGCUUACCAAGGCAACGAUGCAUAGCCGAUCUGAGAGGGUGAUCGGCCACACUGGAACUGAGACACGGUCCAGACUCCUACGGGAGGCAGCAGUAGGGAAUCUUGCGCAAUGGGCGCAAGCCUGACGGAGCAACGCCGCGUGAGUGAAGAAGGUCUUCGGAUCGUAAAACUCUGUUAUUAGGGAAGAAAAGCUGUGUAAGAAAACGUGGAUAUUCUGACGGUACCUAAAGAGAAAGCACCGGCUAACUUCGUG
rnacentral:rRNA from 1 species